UUAGUUGGUGGAGUGAUUUGUCUGCUUAAUUGCGAUAACGAACGAGACCUUAACCUGCUAAAUAGCCCGGCCCGCUUUGGCGGGUCGCCGGCUUCUUAGAGGGACUAUCGGCUCAAGCCGAUGGAAGUUUGAGGCAAUAACAGGU
rnacentral:rRNA from 1 species